UAGUUAUCAAGAAAGGCGGAGGGAUUAGACCCUAUGAAGCCUUAGCAACCCUUUGCUCCAAAAGCAAUGAAGGUGCUAAAUUCUGCCCAAUUUAUGUGGGACAGAUAACAA
rnacentral:ncRNA from 2 species